GUGGAAGUGGUAGUAAACAAAUAUUUUGCUGAAAUUCCUUGCAUUGCAUGAUGGGAUUUUUCAGAAAAUUUAUAAGGCUCACUACUAAAAGGUACUAAAUUCGAAAAAUCACGACAGUUCUCCCAGUGACCGGUAACGCUUCUGUUUCUAUUCGCUUUGGUUUUGAGUGUUGCGUCGAUGAGUGUGGAGAGCAAGGUUAGCUAAAGAUAGGUUUACAUGCAUGCGAUCUGCCGCGCAUUUUGAUGUGUGCACAGGAUUAUUAUAUUUGUUUGGCAAUUUUAAUAUUGCAGUUAAUUUUUCAAUAUGUACUAAUAAACUAUUCGAGAGCUACAAGUAUGAUUCUACUGAGCCGCGGGUUGCCGACCCCUGGCCUACACCAAUCCUUAUAUAUUUUUAAAUUGGUUAUAAUCGAACCUUGUACCUAUGGCAAAUUUGUUAAAAGGCUUUCCUGAAUUUUUAAAAUAUUUUCUGAAACUAAUUGUAAUUAUUAAUAAAUUUUCCAAAGUUACCGCAUUUUGUAUAAUCGAACAUCAUUUCCACACGCAGUUUGUUACUAAAUAAAGCAUAAAACAUUUACGUCUACAGUUUUGAUUCUAGAUAAAUUUUUGGACUACAGUAUCUCUGUUUCGAGAAUUUACUGUAAUCCCGAUAAUGAUUUCGGAAAAUACGGUCCAAUUUUGCCUAUAUAACUAUAAACUAUCCGGUAUUUAAACAAGAUGGAAUUGCCAAACCACGAAAAGGAACGAUUUUCCCACUCCUGUAUUAAAAUACUUUAAAUAAUAAUUUCUCAAAAAGUCGGUGGUUUCUCCAAAUUAGGAUAUUAAAAUCGAAUUCUGGUAUGUCAUCUUCGCUUUCUCUUUUGGCAGUGACAGAAUAAGCCAGCCGUGUGCUGUGUUUGAAAACUGUACUCAAAUAUUUGGUAUGAUUUUGUACGGAUAGUUAUCGAACCUACAGAUAGUUUAUUUAAAAUAUAUUUUUUUGUUUUCAUUAAAAUAGAAAAUGAUUUUUCAAAUGCAUUUAAACACGAAACAGCCAAACUUAU
rnacentral:lncRNA from 1 species